AUGAAAGGGUUAGUGUGGAAUUGCCGGGGGAUUAGCGGUUACCAAACGGUUCGUGACCUUGCGUCCCUCAAUCAAGUGCAUCAUCCUCAGUUUAUCUUCCUAUGUGAAACUAGACAGGCCAAAGAUAGAGUUCGGCGUCUGCGCAACCGGCUUGGCCUGAGAGGUUUUGAGGGUGUCAGUACUGAAGGGCUUAGUGGUGGGCUUGCCCUCUUUUGGGAUGAGCACUUGUAUGUCGAGAUAAAAGAGACUACUCACAGAUACAUCAAUGCACAUAUUGGUACUGCUCCAGGUAAUGUGACAUGGCGUUUAACUUGUGUUUAUGGUGAACCCAGGGUGGAGAAUUGUGACGCCCCCGACUCAAUCGUACACUAA
rnacentral:rRNA from 1 species